CAGAGAAUUUGCUGGAAGAAAAACAUGGAGGCUGUAAUUCAGGCGAGUUCGAGUGAAGAAUCGCGAGGUGUGACUGUGAAGCCAUCUCCGGCGAGGUGGAUCGGACGGAGAUAGAACGACAACGAUUGACAUCAUCACUGGUUUUUGUUUGAUCUUCUAUAUCAAAUGGAGAUGGUCGGCGAUGUUUGUAGACGAGGUUGGGGGUGGAGUUCUUGCGUCCGAUGAUCAGAGGCGUUUGAAGGAAAGGGUUUGAGGAAAGCAAAUGGCUGACAACGUUUGAAGGAAAGGAAAGAGAGACGAAAAGGUUUGGGUAAGGGUUUCUGUAUUUUUAUUAAAAUGUAUUUUAAUUAAUUUAGAAAAAGUUUUAUUUUAAUAAAUUUGAAUAAAAGAUAUUUUAAUAAAAUAUUUAAUGUUUUUACCUUUUAUGACAGCAAACUAUUGUCAUAGAAAAGUGAAAUUUGAAACCAACAAAAAUGCAAAUUUUGACAUUUUGUGACAUAUUUUUCUUCCCUCGUUUCAAUUUGGGAUGUAAUGAUAUGUUCAAUUUUCUUGCAGUGAUUUUAGCUUAAUAAAAAGACUAAUAGGUAAUUUUAAAAACUUUUGAAAAAAUAACAAUAGACUAUGAGAUGAACACAAUUUUUAAGUUAAAGAAGGGUGAUUUGUGUGGAUGAAAAAUGAGGAAUAGGUUUUAGGAGUGAAUGAAAUGUGACCUCUUACUUGCAUCAACACUUUGUAGAUUUACUAAUUCGUCCCUAAAAACUAUCCGUAACUUGCAAUUGAGAGA